GCUAGGCAUGGUGGUGCAUGCCUGUAAUCCCAGCUGCCCGGGAGGCUGAGGCAGGAGAAUCGCUUGAGCCCGGGAGGCAGAGGUUGCAGUGAACCAAGAUCAUGGCACUGCACUCCAGCCUGGGAGACAGAGCGAGACUCUGUCUCAA
ensembl:misc_RNA Metazoa_SRP Metazoan signal recognition particle RNA